UGAAAUUUGUGUGUUUCAGGCUCUCUCACAUGAGCAAUGGAUAGUUGGUAAUAUUUGCACAUUAGUUUUAACCAGUGUCUAUCUUAGAUGAAUGUAACAGUGUCUGAGAAGCCUGUGCAGAAUGAAAGUGUCAAGACACGUGAAGUCCUGUUUGUCCUGAGGAAGCUUCUAUUACUGACAAACCAAGAAAACACCCUGUGAACACUUUUAAAAUUUGUGAAAAGAGGAGAUGAGAAGUCAUAGGAUUUCUGUCACUGUCACUGCAGUUCUAAGAACUAGUUUGCUGAAUGUGGAAUAAGUCUGGGACUCCAGCCUUUUUUUGCCCUGUGACUGGAAGAAACUGUCAACAGCACUCCAACUUGAGCUGAAGAAAUACCACAAGAAAACUGCUCUUACUGAAUUUCCAGAUGCUUGAAGCAGGUUGGCCUGGGAAUUGCAAUGUAUCCAUCAGAACCCUUUCCUCCUUUUCUCUUUACAAUCCCCAUGAUCCUGGUAGAUCACCACCUUCCAGAUGUGGUAAGCAACACAGAUAUCACCCUUACAAAGCUGCGCUGUUCUUUGUCUAUCACCUAGCAUUGGAGAAGGAUGGGGCACCCAAGGGCUGUGAGAUGCAAUAAGAUGGAAGAUAUUGCCCUCCCCUUCAUUUACCCCCUCAAAAAGUGGUUUCCAGGUUUAAGAAUGAAUGGACACAGAGAUGUUGCAGGAACAAGCAAAGAGUGUGCUGACACUUUAGAGACAAAAAAUGUAGCACCCAGAGAAGGGGUCAGAACAAGUGACUGAAAACAUGGCUCAAACAGCAGUGCAGAAUGACUUGUUUUAAGCUGGUUAAAACAAGCAGUUUGGGAACUAGCUCUGGCUUCAGCAACCAUGUACUUUAGCUCCUCCAGCUCAGUCUGUUUGGAGAAAUAUCUUUUUCUUUUCCCAGAGGAACAUCAUGAGAUGAUAGCAAGUAUCAGGCAAAAGACCAUGUCACCAUGCACAUUUGGUAAAACAGGUGAUGAAACAGGGCCAAAGUGAGGUUAGGAAGUCAGGCAGCAUGUUGGGGUCAGGAGCAAACAGGAGAAAGACUGCAACACAACGCCAGGAAGACCAAGGGCAAGAGAAGCUUGAGAAGUCACCAAGGAAAGGGGUGUGAGCUGUGCCUGAGCCUUUCCAACAGCACAGUGUGGAUGAGCUCCCUCAAUAUCAUCACCUUGCUAUACAAAUAUGUGAGAGAAAGCAUAUUUCAUACAUGCUGCAGAAAAUGGUGGCAGAGUUUGCAGUGGUCUCUAAUUUCAUAUGAUAGUGAUGGUUUCAUGGUUUCUGGUGUCCCUCAUUUAUCCACCCCUGCCAAGAACCACACCACCUAUGGUUCCUCUGCCAAGCAUUUUAGCCAUCCUCAGAAUAGAUUUUUGAAUGCCUGAAAGACAGUGAGCAGGAGCCAUUUCAAACAUUUCAUUUAUGUCCUUGAUUGAAGUAUUUCUUUCCAUGGUCUGCAUUGAGAUCCAACCCUGUAACUACCCCAGAGUGUGGGUGGGCAGGAUUGGUCCCUGCUCUUUCAUUCUUAAAUGCUAUAGUUCUUUACAUUCUUCCUGGAUAUUUUGAAAAUAUAGGAAUUCUGUUCAUCACAGUUCAAUGUGCAGCACGCACAAUCUAUAGGACUUAAAGAAAAGCUGUGUUCCACACUUAUCGUCAACCUGUGGCUCAUUUUUUGUGAGCAACUAUUGCAGAACCCUAACUCCAGCUACACAAAGACUGUUUCAGAGCAAGUAAAUCCUCAGGUGGUACAAAUGUCUGCUCUCCUGAAGGCUGCAGUAAUAACACUUGGGGCCUAAUGCAGUCACACUUCACAGCCCUCCCAACUGCAAUGAGUCACCGGAGUGAUUCAGAGCAGCGCUGGUAAAGUGCCCUGAAACCUAUCUUUUGCCCACCUGCACAGCCUCCUCAGGUUGUGUCAUGCUUUUACUAUCUGUCAACAGGUAUUAUUUAGAACUGUUGACAAAUCACAAUAGGAACUGCCUCCUGACUUUAAAAAGUUAUAUUCAUAAAGCACUUGGCACAUGCUCUGAUGUAAUUUCAGGAGUUCCACUUCUAGUUCCAACUUAAACCCAGGAAAAGCAGAAGUGGAAAUAUAUUUUUAAUAGUUGACUGAGAAUUUUCAGACCUUGACAUGGCCUCAGAUUCAAUAUAGCUUGCCAAAUUUGGGAUGAAAUUUUGAACCUGUUUAAAAGUUUCACAGGAAAGAAAGGCAUCACAGAGUAGUAGUUAGAGUAGGCAAUAUGAAGUGAAUGAUCUGAAUUAUUUUUCAGAUAUUAUCCUGGGAUGGAUGUAUACCCACAGAAAAGCUCUGAAUCUAUCUCUAUUUCUAAAUAGGCACACAGUAAAUAACAUCUAUAAUUAUAUUUUUUAUAAUAAAUGCAGUAUAUUAAAAUUAUUACAUAAUACUAUUCCUAAUAAUACUACUCCGAAAGGCAAUAUAAAGGUAAUUGAAAAACAAACAAAAGGCAUGCUAAAGCUAAACUGCAGAAAGGCCCAAAUCCAGCUAAGCACUUAAACACAUGCAUAACUUCAAGCAGUAAGUAUUAAUGUCUCUCACAUAUAUGAUGUUCUGCAUAUGCUUAAGUGCUUAACUGGACUGGAGCCUAAAUUCACAAAAGCAACACUAAAUCUCUAUCCUUAAUUUUUGCACCUUUGCUAAAUUCUUGCUUUAAUGCUCUUUAUAUUCACAAUUUUAUUUAUAUUUGCAGGAAAGAAACAUACUUCUGGAUGGUAUUUGUAUGUCCAUGUGCAUGUGCAUCUGUAUGUCUAUAGUCUAGGCAUAAUUUUUAGAGUGUUCUCUCUCAUUUCUGAUAUCAAUAUUUUCUUAUUGAUCAGACCAUUAAUAUGCAUUUGUUCAAGCAGCACCACAAGAUUUUUUUCAUAGAACUUUCCUGCCAAAAGGAGUGCACUGGCAUGAAUAUCACCAUUGUAUUCAUAAGACAUGACACAGCCCCACAUUAUUUAAGUGACAAAAAUAACACUAGUCAGCCUUGAUUCAGAAGCUGUGCAAGUUUGUUAAUGUGGGGCUGUGUUUUCAGCAGGACUUAUAGUCUUACACAUAACACAGUCCUUAAUGAAACAACUUAACUUUCAAAUCACAAAAUCACAUCUGGAUGAUAUUCAGCCUUCUGGGAGGGCAAAUUGAAAGAAAAUAGGUCUUUUGACCAAUGGUCAUGGAGACAUAGACAUUAAUAUUAGUUAAAAAUUCUAAAAUUCUUCAGUUGAGAGCCAUUGUCAGGGCUAUUGUACACUGUGAGUGUGACAUCUACACAAAAAAAAAUAAAAUUAAUUAAAAGAAAUGUAAUCUAACAUUAUUUUCUAUUUAUUUAUUGGUUUAUUUAUUUGGAAACAAACAUGAACUCAUUAUUUACAUGGCUUUUUGCUUUGAAGGAAGAAAUUUCUAUAAAUGAAAGUAAUGCCAUCUUUUACCUGUUUUCUCAAGUUAAAUGAAACUAUUCCAGAAAUUUCCAAUACAGAUGGGUGUGUGCCAAAUGGCUUAGAAUUCCAGUUUAAUCUCACUCUGGGCCCAGCUCUCUAGAUGUUUAUCCAAAGCUCCUAUGAAUGAAUCAGAUCUUCAGACAACCAGAUUAAGAAGAAUAAUUAUUUACCUAUAUUAUUGUUGCGUUGGUGUAAAGCAGAGGUUUUAGGAUUAUGGUGGUUAGAAAUGGAUUAAAGCAUAUGUUAAAAGGUUAGCUUUGUUCAAUAUUUUAAGUCUGUGUUUCAGUUUCAAGUGUUCCUGUAGCAGUAGUUACAGAGAUUUGUGUAUCUGGGUUAGUUUAGGUGUUGCAAGUUGAUGAUAAGACCUCAUUGGGUUUUGUGUCUCUGUUUUGAAGAAUGGUCACUUUAAGCUUAUCUAAAGCUUGUGUGAUAGCUC